rnacentral:rRNA from 1 species
CGGGUGAGUAACACGUGGGUAACCUGCCCAUCAGAAGGGGAUAACACUUGGAAACAGGUGCUAAUACCGUAUAACAAUCGAAACCGCAUGGUUUCGGUUUGAAAGGCGCUUUUGCGUCACUGAUGGAUGGACCCGCGGUGCAUUAGCUAGUUGGUGAGGUAACGGCUCACCAAGGCAACGAUGUAUAGCCGACCUGAGAGGGUGAUCGGCCACAUUGGGACUGAGACACGGCCCAA